UGCAACUCGACUACAUGAAGCUGGAAUCGCAGUAAUCGCGGAUCAGAAUGCCGCGGUGAAUACGUUCCCGGGUCUUGUACACACCGCCCGUCACACCAUGGGAGUCGGAAAUGCCCGAAGUCGGUGACUUAACCGAAAGGAGAGAGCCGCCGAAGGCAGGUCUGAUAACUGGGGUGAAGUCGUAACAAGGUAUC
rnacentral:rRNA from 1 species